AGUCGACGCUUUUUCUUUCACCGGAGCUUGCUCCAUCGAAAGAAAAAGAGUGGCGAACGGGUGAGUAACACGUGGGUAACCUGCCCAUCAGAAGGGGAUAACACUUGGAAACAGGUGCUAAUACCGUAUAACACUAUUUUCCGCAUGGAAGAAAGUUGAAAGGCGCUUUUGCGUCACUGAUGGAUGGACCCGCGGUGCAUUAGCUAGUUGGUGAGGUAACGGCUCACCAAGGCCACGAUGCAUAGCCGACCUGAGAGGGUGAUCGGCCACACUGGGACUGAGACACGGCCCAGACUCCUACGGGAGGCAGCAGUAGGGAAUCUUCGGCAAUGGACGAAAGUCUGACCGAGCAACGCCGCGUGAGUGAAGAAGGUUUUCGGAUCGUAAAACUCUGUUGUUAGAGAAGAACAAGGAUGAGAGUANAACGUUCAUCCCUUGACGGUAUCUAACCAGAAAGCCACGGCUAACUACGUGCCAGCAGCCGCGGUAAUACGUAGGUGGCAAGCGUUGUCCGGAUUUAUUGGGCGUAAAGCGAGCGCAGGCGGUUUCUUAAGUCUGAUGUGAAAGCCCCCGGCUCAACCGGGGAGGGUCAUUGGAAACUGGGAGACUUGAGUGCAGAAGAGGAGAGUGGAAUUCCAUGUGUAGCGGUGAAAUGCGUAGAUAUAUGGAGGAACACCAGUGGCGAANGCGGCUCUCUGGUCUGUAACUGACGCUGANGCUCGAAAGCNU
rnacentral:rRNA from 1 species